rnacentral:rRNA from 1 species
AUUGAACGCUGGCGGCAGGCCUAACACAUGCAAGUCGAACGGUAACAGGAAGAAGCUUGCUUCUUUGCUGACGAGUGGCGGACGGGUGAGUAAUGUCUGGGAAACUGCCUGAUGGAGGGGGAUAACUACUGGAAACGGUAGCUAAUACCGCAUAACGUCGCAAGACCAAAAAAGGGGGACCUUCGGGCCUCUUGCCAUCGGAUGUGCCCAGAUGGGAUUAGCUAGUAGGUGGGUAACGGCUCACCUAGGCGACGAUCCCUAGCUGGUCUGAGAGGAUGACCAGCCACACUGGAACUGAGACACGGUCCAGACUCCUACGGAGGCAGCAGUGGGGAAUAUUGCACAAUGGGCGCAAGCCUGAUGCAGCCGAUGCCGCGU